AGUGAACGCUGGCGGUAGGCCUAACACAUGCAAGUCGAACGGCAGCACAGUAAGAGCUUGCUCUUACGGGUGGCGAGUGGCGGACGGGUGAGGAAUACAUCGGAAUCUACUUUUUCGUGGGGGAUAACGUAGGGAAACUUACGCUAAUACCUCAUACGACCUACGGGUGAAAUCAGGGGAUCUUCGGACCUUGCGCGAUUGAAUUAGCCGAUGUCGGAUUAGCUAGUUGGCGGGGUAAAGGCCCACCAAGGCGACGAUCCGUAGCUGGUCUGAGAGGAUGAUCAGCCACACUGGAACUGAGACACGGUCCAGACUCCUACGGGAGGCAGCAGUGGGGAAUAUUGGACAAUGGGCGCAAGCCUGAUCCAGCCAUACCGCGUGGGUGAAGAAGGCCUUCGGGUUGUAAAGCCCUUUUGUUGGGAAAGAAAAGCAGCAGGUUAAUACCCCGAUGUUCUGACGGUACCCAAAGAAUAAGCAACGGCUAACUUCGUG
rnacentral:rRNA from 1 species